AAAAAACAUAUAAGCACCAACAAACUCAGGUGAACGAGAAACUUUAAUGUUAUAAUCAAUAGGAAGUUGGAUAUAAUUGAAAAAAAUGGUAGAUAACAAUAUAUUUACCCUCUGUAAACUGCAGACAAAUUAAAAGGAAGGGAUGGCGUUAAUUGCUGAAACCCUAUACUGCUCCUUUUAAAGGCCACACGAUUGAAACAGAAAAAAUCUCCAAGUUGGCUUUGCGUUCAGUUUAGCUCAUUUGGCCUGAAAUUUAAAAUUCCGACAAUUCUCCAUUUAGUUAAUAACCGUGUUUGUGUGUGCUGGAAAUAACAGAAAGUUGAAACAGGAGGGGGGGCAACAGAAUAAAUUGACGUAUUCUAACUGUAAGAGCUAGAAGUUUUACGAAGACCGUUCACAGCUUAGCAUAUAUGAAGGAUAACAAGGUGUGAAGUUGCUUGAUAGAUCAGAUAAUCUUUAAAGAUCCGUGUACAAAACUCUUUUACACACUUGUUAUUUCACAGUUGUCGAAUACAAAAAUGUCAAGCUCUUUGAAUUGUAAGUAUUUAGUUCCAUUUACAAAAAAAGGAGACUGUACGUUGUAUAUGAAAUAAAUUUGGACCUUGCUGGCAUCCUGAUAAUGGGUAUAAGUUUAAAAUUGCUCUUUGCUCAGGGCUUGUGUAGAUGUGAG